GAUGAACGCUGGCGGCGUGCUUAACACAUGCAAGUCGAGCGAACAGACGAGGAGCUUGCCCCUCUGACGAUAGCGGCGGACGGGUGAGUAACACGUGGAUAACCUACUUAUAAGACUGGGACAACCUCGGGAAAACGGAGUUAAAACGGGUGAAUAUACCGAACCGCACGGUUCCAUCGUGAAAGACGGUUUUGCUGUCACUUAUAGAUGGAUCCGCGCCGCAUUACAUAUUUUGUAAGGGAACGGCAUACCAAGGCAAAGAUGCGUAGCCGACCUCAAAGGGUGAACAGCCAGACUGGAACUGAGAAACGGUCCAGACACCUACGCGAGGCAGCAGUAGGGAAUCUUACGCAAUGGGGGAAAGCCUGACGGAGCAACGCCGCGGGAGUGAUGAAGGUCUUCGGAUCGUAAAGCUCUGUUAUAUGGGAGGAACAAAUGUGUAAGUAACUAUGCACGUAUUGACGGUACCUAAUCAAAAAGCCACGGCUAACUACGUG
rnacentral:rRNA from 1 species